GGAUAGCUCAGUCGGUAGAGCAGGGGAUUGAAAAUCCCCGUGUCCUUGGUUCGAUUCCGACGUUCG
rnacentral:tRNA from 1 species